ACCCUCUGCGACUCGCACCCUUCCCUCUGCUCCGCUGGGCUCGUGCUCUGCAAAUGCCCGCGGUGCCCUCGGAGGGACCCCGUAAGGGAGUUGCUGUCAGCACGGACUCGUCCCCUGCACGUUGCUUAUCCGCGCAGGGGUGCGGGCUCGUGCCCACGUGUGGUGCCCUCUUACCUGCGUGUUUCGGGGCCGUUGGUUUGGAUGGAGCGCGGUCGCUCCAGGUUUGCUGAGGUCUCUUAGGCGCAGGUGAACUUCCAGGGGCUUUUCUCAUGCGUGUGUAAAAAUACACAGACAAUUUUAAAGAAAAGCAACUGCAUUCCUCUGUGGAUCAGUAAUACCUCUCCCCUCCUGUAAUCCCUCCAGCCCCUGCCCUGUAUGUUCCCACUAGCAAACUAAACAAACACAUCCAUUAACUUCCUCGGUGACAGACAAAUGACAGUUCCCAACAGCGAGAGCGUAUUUUAACGCUGGGGCUCCAGCAGUUGAUCGGAUUUCAAUAAACAGGUUACCCUACCAGAGGCAAAUUGAAAUACAUUGACCUGGAGUGACGGGGGGGUGGUGUGUGUGGAAAAAAAGAAGUUUCUGUAUGGGAAGGUGCUCUAAGCAAAGCUCUGGGAUCAGAGCGGAAGGAGCGGUAGCUUUUCCUCCGCUCUCGCCUGUGUCGUACCUUGGUGGGUGCUGUCCCCGGAAAGCCUGAAUGAGAAACCAUGCUUUCAGCUCGCCCGGCUGUGGUCACAAAGGAGGGGCUGCAUUGUUCCAGGAGAAUGGGGGUAUGGCUUUAGGAUGCAGAUUGCUCCAGCUGCAAUUCCCAACAGUGUCAGAGUUGCAUGAAUUGUUGAAAGACCUUUAAAUCACCCAGUGCCAUGGAGUUGUGAAUUCAAAGGUUUAAACUUGCCCUUCGCUUGGGCCGUAACUUGCCAAAAAUGAACGUUGGGGGUGAGGGUGGGAAAGGAGAAGGGGAACGUUACUCUAAAAACCCAAGGUUUGGUUAGUGUGGUGUUGUUUUUUUUUCCUUCUUGGCAUUGGCUCCCAAGCAAAUAUUUUAUGGAGGCAAAAGCACUGUAAAAUGAUUUGGCUGGAAGCUGAAUGAAAAAGAAAACAGCAUAUAGGCUGUAAGUCCUGCAAGUCUGAACUCCAGGCAAGGUUUACAAUGGACACUCAGUUUAAGUUGUAGGCAAUGGGCAGCAGCGCAUUAAUUCAGAUGACCUCAUGGAUGUAUAUUAUUGCAAUGGACCUGAGAAGUUGGUGGAGUUCCGGAAAAGAUCUGAAGUGGGCAGAAGACAAAAAGAUUCUUGUCUCUGUUGUGAGCCAAGUAUUGGCUGCUUUAGUGGCUGACCCUGUUUAAAUUUGGUUUGCACUUGUCUUGCUUAUACUCUUUUAUUGCCCCUGGAAAACGAAUUACCGUGGGCUGCUGUGGUGUGAAGAAGUGACAGAAAAUUAACUGCGGUAAUUUCAGGACAUCAUCAUUUUUCCUAUGGGAAGGACUUUUUAAUAUAACUUUGAUAGGAUCAUAUUGGUAAUUGGCUUAUUGGAACUCUUUUCAGAGCUACAAGCGGAUGGAGAGAUGGUCCUGGUUAUGUAAAAUGACAUAGAAUAUAGUUUAAAAACCAGGGCCAAACCCAUGAAAAAUGUCAUUCGUUCAUGUGCUGAUACCAAGAGAGGGAAAAUGAAGAAAAAAAAGGUGUUGUUGCUAUAAAAAAAAAUAAAUAGAGACAACCCUAACAUUUAAAGCCUGCUUUGCAUCUCUUGAGGUUGAGGGUAUUCUUGAUAGUGGAAGACGUAUAUGAAAGAUCAAAUGUGUAAAUGAGCAGGGGUGAGACACUCUCCAGCACAUGACAGUGCAAAAUAAGGUUGCAGAGUAUCCUCAAUUAUUAUAUGUUUACAUUGGGAUAAUUUCAGAUUCUUAGAAAAAUGUGCCCAGUUGUUAACGUGCCUGUGGAUUUUUUCCGAAUGUAUCAUACGGUGGGUUCGGCCCCUGGAGAUGGAUAAAUGUUACCUGUUUCAGUUGCUCAGGUUUUAUAGACAGUCCUUUGGCCAGAUCUCAGCCUGAGGUCGCAAGGCUUUACGCCGGAGGAAGAAGGGCUCUUUGUUUUGGCCAAACAGCAUUUAAUAUCUAUAUCCUGAUUGCACAUUAGACGUGUGUGGCCCAAAGCGUGCCACCGCCUCCUAAUCUGAGGUGUCAGAAGUGAAAUAGGUGCUCACUGGCUUGCAAUCAAGUGAGGAAGGUGGCUGAGGAGGCUCUCUGUGAAAGUGCUGGACUUUCUUUUCUACUCAUAUUAGGCAAAAGUAGUUACUGCUGGAAUGAGGAUGUUAAUCUGGAGCCGCCUGGUUGCGUGCCCGCGCUAGGGGAAGGGCUUGUGCCAUAGUGCUGUUGCACAAGGGGGCAGAGUUAAGUUGCCCACACGCUCCGGCUUCGAUAUUUCCUGACAGUCAAGUGCUCAGCUGCAAUCUUGCAUUAAAUGUUACGUUGUAUUAUUUUUACAUCUUUAUUUAGGUGAUGCCUUUUAAGGCGAAGGACCCCGCAGGGAUGACUGAUUGGGCUAAUGCAGCAACUUCCCCCCACCCCCAGCAAAUGGGCAUUUUUCCAGGUUCGGAGCUGUGCCUACCGGCUCUGUCCCUUCUUGUGAGCCGAUGUGUCACAUCACCGAUGUACAAAACACUACAAAAAAGGGGAUACCUUAGGAAACCAAGAUAAACUCUUAACAAGUUAUCAAAGUAUCCACACAAAGCAGAGAAAAAGUCUGAUUUUAGAGGUCCAGGUGCAGAACUUGCUGUGUCUGGAGGGAUGAAGGGUGAGGUAGCUCUGGCUAAGUUUGAACCAAUGCUUUUGGGGCUGAAAUUUAAAGACUUUGGCUAAGGGCUUGUCAACAUCUGCAAAUGCCUAGAACCUGGAAUAACCCUUCCAAAAAACUUAAUCUGGAAUAACUCCCCCAGUGACCAAUCUUAUUCUGGGCUAGGAUCUCCUAGAGGGAGGCUGUACCAAAAAAGUCUUUCUCAGGAGCUUUUUCAGUAAAUAUUCAACCCCCUUCUUUCGCUUAUGGGUGAAGACAAGAACUUCUGCACGCACAAAAUCCACUCUUUGAGAACAAAACCUGCGUGCUGUGGUUUUCUAGGAGGGGAUAUGUCUUACGGCUGACGGCCAAGGCGUAGGGCAGCAGCUUCAGCCCGGUUGCCAGCUGGACCGGAUAGCGUCAGCCCUGAACCUGGGAUAAUAGUGCAGGUCUGGUGGCUUGUCCCUCAUGUCACUCCAUUCCUGUUUGCUCCAAGCAGCCCUAUACUGGGCAUAAAAGUCCUCAGCGUCCUGCCCUGGCCCUCCCCCACAGGGGACGAAUGCCAUCUUGGGUCACUAACCUUUAGUGACUAUGUCCUGCAGCAAUGCAGCUCCUACCACGCCACACCUCCGGUCGGAUACAGGUAAUACAAUCUGAUAUUUUCCUGCCUAUGUUAUCUCAGUGACACACAACGCAAUAUUUGUUCCGAAUCUGUCAAGUUGCCAUCAUAUUCUCAUUGGUGACCGUAUAUGGUAACGUUGGGAUGUGCUUGGCUUGGUCCCGUGGCUUAAACAAGAUUUCGUAUGGUAUGUUUAGAAGUUUUUGGUAAGAGCAGUAACGACCCUCCUGUUAGUGGGUAAACUGAUAUUCUGCUGGAAACGAAUUCAUUUGGAUGUUGAUUUCAAUUUCUGUGCAUUGCGUAGGGAGGGGAAGAACGGGACCGUAAUCGCUUUCUGCUCUGGCACUUCUCUAUGCGACCCUUGGCUUGCAAACCUGGUUGAUGCCUGCUUUACAGGGAAUUUACUGGUGGGGCCUCCUCAAAAUUCAAUGGUUUAAUGCAGAAAUAAUGUUAUAUGCCAUUUUUGUUUCUCUGAAUAUUGGAGAAAAGGAAAUAGGAUGCUAGAAGGUUUUUUUUAUUUCUUUGGAGACGAGUUCUUCACUCUGGUGAAUAUAUCCACCGUUCUGUGACUUUGGGGUUUAUAAGAGCGAAUGUUAGUAAAAGCAGAAAAGAUAAAUAAUGAUAAUAUAAGAGAGAUGGUUGUUGGCUUCUGUUUAACUCCUUUAUUCUUGUUGAAUAUUUGUUACCAGAUAUAAUGAUUAGGUAAUUUCCCAGUUGUGAGAGAGAAGCGUGUUCUGAUCUAACAGCCUGAUUUCAGAUUUUAUGUAAGUCACUGCACAUCUUCUGGUUAAGUUUAGGGCAUUUUUUGGAUCGUGCUCUCGGGGAACUUGCUCAUGAAUAAUCUGUCAGCAUGACUUGUACCUAGAAUCAACAUGACUAUCUAAGAAAAUCCUGGCUAUUUUUUUAAACCCCAGUUCCUCCCUUCUUCUGAGGCUGUCGGCCGCUUUAAAUUAUGGCUGAGUUUAAACAUAAAAUACAGUGUGUGUCAUGCUGGAAAAUUAGGGUUGAUUUUAUUUUUUUUUUAUUAGGAAUAUUACAAAACUCGGCAAAUUGCUCAAAUACAUUUAGAUUUUCCUUAAAGGUUUUAUAACUGUUUUCCAAGUCCAUAUGUUUCUUCGACCUUCAUUAAAAGACGCAAGCAGCAAAUUAAUACACAUCUUUUUUGUGAUGCUCUUGUACACAGCAAAGGCUAGACUCCAAAGUCUGACUCUUAGCCACAGAAGAAACUUUUAUGUACCAUGAGGUGGUGCUUGAGAAAUUACAGGAAAAUGGUUCUUUUAGGAAAGAAAUGUCAUCCAAAACAAAAAAAAAAGUGACACUAGCAAGUAGGAACCUGCUUUUCAAGGACCAUCAAUACUAAUUCAUUAACUGAAGAAUAAGUUUGUCAUCUGGCAUGAAUUGGCUGAUAGAGCUGAUCUUUUCCAAUGACUGGUCGGAUAAUUCCUUUCCGAGCGGCUGUCUCGCCAUGAGCGACGCUGGUACAUCUGGGUGCCGAACACUUGCUGUAGAAUAGCGUGAAUGCAGGAGAGGUAGUGACUGCCUGGCUGUGAAUUUUUGGAUUAAUUAUUGGUAGAGAUCAAAAUUUCCACCAAAAGGGGAAAAUAAUAAUAAUGCAGAAGUCCUUUUUUUCCUAGUUUGAAUUUUAAACAAACCAACCCAACAGCCUUUCGUCAUAGCUUUAUUUGUUCAGUGGGAGUAGAACCAGUGCAGCUUUCUGAUUUUCCUGAGACGCGGAGCUCCUACUUCUGUCUGCAGAGACUUGUAAAAUCAUGGUGCUCAAAGGUCCGUGCAAAUGUAUCCCACCAUUACAGGAGUCAGUUGAAAUGCUCCUUUCUCCCCUUUCUUUCAUUAACCUGGUAAUUUUGUCUUGUUUCAAGGAGUUUCUUUCAUCUGACCUCUUCUGGUGUUUUCUGGUGGGCUGCUCAAGCUGAAAUGCAUCUGAUCUUGUUUUGAACAUUUGAUUUGGAUUUAUUUUCCUUUUCUUGUUCUCUGUAAUCAGCCUUGACUUGAAGCUUUAUCUAAUAAUAAUGCCUCCAUACGUAUUUAUCUGUGUUGACCUGUCCUUAUCUUUUGCACCAAGGUGGAACAUUUUUGUCUAUAUAAGGGACUUUUUUUUGAGAAUAGAGCCAGUGUGAAUGUAGAAGUUGCAAAGACCACUGUCUGAUGCAAGCCUAUUGAGUCUGGUGCUCAUUCAUAGCAGCCGUGGUACUAAGUUUUAACAGGUUAGGACCUGAUUCAGAGCCUGUGAGAGCUGGUGCCAUGUCUCCUACCCACUCCUAUGGGCUUUGGAUCCAUUCCUGAAGGACGACUUACAGAGACCGACAUCGCAGAUAAUCUGUGUAUGGAUCCCUCAUGUAUGACAGCGGGAGAGAGAUGGCUAAGAGGGGUAUUUUGGAUCCUGCCGUUCGCCUGCUUCACCGGUCAGCUUGGACUCAGUUUUUUUUUAUUGUAGAAACACAUUGCUUCUGCCCACUGUGAGCUCUGGCUCGUGGCUGGAACAUGCACUGCCAGGGCUGAAAGCAACUUGGAAAUUCACUGCUUAAAUUUUGGGUUGCUGCAGAGGGGUUUAUCCCCAAAGGAAGGCUGCCAUUCUAGGGGCGGUGUUGCUAGGUGUGGAGGGGCUGAAGGCUGGCCUGAGUGUUAUUUAACAAGUUAAUAUAUGCCGUUUGCUGCUGAAUCCAUUCACAUCCCUGUUGUUUGGUUUUCUUUUUUUUUUUUUUUAUCCCUUCUGAGUCAAAUAAACAUGGGCUGCAUGGA